UUCUCCACCGCUCACCACCGCACCCCUCCACCGCUCACCACCGCCUCCGCACCCACAGCUCGCCGCUCUCCCUUUCCCCUCAUCUUUUUUUUUAUUUGGCCACUGCAACUCACCCGAGCACCUCUCCAUCGACCCCCAGACAGGCUCCUUUUGGGCCGGGCCACCCACUGCCUCCUCACAGGCCCAAACCAGCAGGCCAUCACUACAGAGGCCUGGUCCCAUCUCACAAACUCAGCAGGUCUACUCUCCUCCAUUUUACAAGCCCAGCAGACUAGCCAAGGUGCUGUGAUCAGAUCCAAAUAGAAGCCAAUUUAAGCCAAUUGAAAAGGUCCAUCAGCUGCAACCAAGCAACGAUCGUCGCCCCAGCCCACGAGCACACAUUCUGGUCGCCUACUUCGCGACAGGUAAUAAGGUUUCCGCUUUUCUUGGGC
rnacentral:lncRNA from 1 species